rnacentral:lncRNA from 1 species
GGAAACUUACAUUCAUGGCAAAGGCAAGGGGGAGGCAAGUACCUUCUUCACAUGGCAGCAGACAAGAGAGAGUGGGGAAGGAAGAAUAGAUGGACUGAAGACCUCAUCUUCCUUCUGGAUAAAUAGCCAAAUGAUAAGCAUCACUAUUCUUCAUUGCAACAGGUUAUCUUGAUGUGACUUGUAGGAAUGUCUUUAGAAAGAAAAUGUUGAGAAUAGUAAUUACAUUCUCUCUAUCUUCUCCUUUUCCUCCUUCUUCUUCUUAGACACCUUCUUUUUCCCUUUCUCCGUAAAGAUCUCUUGAAGGCAGUAGCCUUCAUCUUUAUUUUUUACAGAGACUCACAAAA